AUGUAUUUUCUACAUACACUCCGGUUCCUGCGCUCCGGGUGCACCCGGCUGAAACCCGCUCGUGACGUUUUUCAACA
rnacentral:sRNA from 1 species